UAAAGUACCACCUGAUAAAAUGGCAGAUGUGGUAAAACAUUUCCAAACAAGAUCAUGCGUUAAAAAGGGGAAAAAGAGGUAUCGUAAGCAACAUACGGCGUAAUUACAGCAAGACUAAGCAUCAGGAAUCAUUGUCGUCCUCCAUCCAUACAUGCAAAUAAGAAACAAAUCCCAAUAAGAAGUAAUGGCUGCUUCUUCCUAGAAUCAAUUAUUUGCAGUCUAGCAGAGAAUUCAACAGGAAAACAAGGAAAGGAAAAAACACUGCCCAGAGAAGGCUAAGAAAAAAGACAGGAGAACGAGGAACGGAAAAAAACCUGGUAGAGAAGGCAAAGGAAAGAAUAAAAGGAAAUAAUGGAGACAAAGUUGAGAAAACAAUAAGAAAAAGUAAUGGGUCGGAAAACUCUGAAGCGGUGCGAGCUGCAUCCAGCUCAACUCACAGACAAAAUUGCUCCUGUCCAAGAAUAGCACGCGGACGGUAGUGAAUUUUCAGCAGAGCCACUGCCACCCAUCAGCAAAAGACCCAAAUGCCCCUCAAAGCCACAACAAUCACGGCAUAACCGGCUCAUCUGCACUGUUCAUAAGGCUUUGCACGCUUUAUAUACGUAAGAUAUG
rnacentral:lncRNA from 1 species